GACGUAGGGCGCAAGCGUUGUCCGGAAUCAUUGGGCGUAAAGAGCGUGUAGGCGGCCAGAUAAGUCCGCUGUGAAAUCUCGAGGCUCAACUUCGAGCUGUCGGUGGAAACUGUCUGGCUAGAGUCCGGAAGAGGAGAAUGGAAUUCCUGGUGUAGCGGUGAAAUGCGCAUAUAUCAGGAGGAACACCGGUGGCGAAGGCGGUUCUCUGGGCCUUACCUGACGCUGAGGAGCGAAAGCGUGGGGAGCAAACAGG
rnacentral:rRNA from 1 species